GUGUCUCAAAAUGGAGGAUCUUCAACUCAAGAUAAUGUUUCACACUGAACCCUUGUCGCCACUCAAGUCAGACAACAAAAUGAAAUAACUGGAGUACUGCUCAUCAUAAUCUGGGAGUCAUGCAAAUGCAAAUCUCAAGACAUAACAUGUCAUCAAAAAGUUUCCUAAAAAUAGUUUGAAUGUAAGACACACUGGCUUUAUGGGAAUAAAUCCUAUGGUCAGUGAGAGACAGAAGGCUUUGGUGACCUUUGACCCCGGUUCACUCAACCCCCACUAUUCCACAGUGGGCUGUAUAUGUGCACCAUUGUAUUAGGCUUCAAAGAGCAUGUCCCUCGACAUUCCCGCGUAAUUCGAUCCACAAGGUCAUCUUGUGUUUAUUUUGGAGUAUGCUUAUUAAAAAAUAGAUGCAAACCAGC
ensembl:lncRNA